UACGUAGGGUGCAAGCGUUGUCCGGAAUUAUUGGGCGUAAAGAGCUCGUAGGCGGUUCGUCGCGUCGGCUGUGAAAUCCCGAGGCUCAGCCUCGGGUCUGCAGUCGAUACGGGCGGACUUGAGUACUGCAGGGGAGACUGGAAUUCCUGGUGUAGCGGUGAAAUGCGCAGAUAUCAGGAGGAACACCGGUGGCGAAGGCGGGUCUCUGGGCAGUAACUGACGCUGAGGAGCGAAAGCGUGGGGAGCGAACAGG
rnacentral:rRNA from 1 species